rnacentral:tRNA from 1 species
GGGGAUAUGGCUUGGUGGUAGGGCAUCCGCUUUGCGCACUGAGGGACCCCGGUUCAAUCCCUGGCAUCCCCA